rnacentral:misc_RNA from 1 species
AAGUCGUAACAAGGUAUCUGUAGGUGAACCUGCAGAUGGAUCAUUUUGAUGAAAACCUUUUUUUCUGAGGUGUGGCUCGCACCUGUCUAACUAAACUUGAGCUACCUUUUUUCACACGGUUGCAUCGGUUGGCCUGUCGAGUAGUGCAAGACGCGAAUUUUUCGCAUCCCAAACUAGGAGACGGCCAACACUUAACUAAACACUUUUGAUGACUUAGGAUUUGAAUGAUAAAAGUUCAUUUUUACAAUGAAACCGACUGGUAAUGCGGUCGUCUAAUUUUAAAAACAACUUUUGGCAACGGAUCUCUUGGUUCUCC